rnacentral:rRNA from 1 species
UCAGGAUGAACGCUAGCGGCAGGCCUAAUACAUGCAAGUCGUACGGGAUUGUCCCCUCGGGGGGCAGUGAGAGUGGCGGACGGGUGCGCAACGCGUAUGCAACCCGACCCUCCGGAGGCGUACAGCCGGUGGAAACGCCGGGUGAUGCGCCGUGCGGCGCAGGGGAGGCAUCUUCCCUGCGCGAUAGCCUACGGGCGCCGGGGGACGGGCAUGCGUCCCAUUAGGUAGUCGGCGGGGUGACGGCCCACCGAGCCCACGAUGGGUAGGGGAUCUGAGAGGACGGUCCCCCACACUGGCACUGAGACACGGGCCAGACUCCUGCGGGAGGCAGCAGUAGGGGAUAUUGGGCAAUGGGGGGCAACCCUGACCCAGCCAUGCCCGCGUGAGGGAAGUAGGCCCUACGGGUCGUGAACCUCUUUUAUUCGGGGACAACUGCGCGGUCGGGAACCGUGCUUGAGGGUACCGAAGGAAUAAGCAUCGGCUAACUCCGUGCCAGCAGCAGC